rnacentral:rRNA from 1 species
GACGAACGCUGGCGGCGUGCCUAAUACAUGCAAGUCGAACGAACUCUGGUAUUGAUUGGUGCUUGCAUCAUGAUUUACAUUUGAGUGAGUGGCGAACUGGUGAGUAACACGUGGGAAACCUGCCCAGAAGCGGGGGAUAACACCUGGAAACAGAUGCUAAUACCGCAUAACAACUUGGACCGCAUGGUCCGAGUUUGAAAGAUGGCUUCGGCUAUCACUUUUGGAUGGUCCCGCGGCGUAUUAGCUAGAUGGUGGGGUAACGGCUCACCAUGGCAAUGAUACGUAGCCGACCUGAGAGGGUAAUCGGCCACAUUGGGACUGAGACACGGCCCAAACUCCUACGGGAGGCAGCAGUAGGGAAUCUUCCACAAUGGACGAAAGUCUGAUGGAGCAACGCCGCGUGAGUGAAGAAGGGUUUCGGCUCGUAAAACUCUGUUGUUAAAGAAGAACAUAUCUGAGAGUAACUGUUCAGGUAUUGACGGUAUUUAACCAGAAAGCCACGGCUAACUACGUGCCAGCAGCCGCGGUAAUACGUAGGUGGCAAGCGUUAUCCGGAUUUAUUGGGCGUAAAGCGAGCGCAGGCGGUUUUUUAAGUCUGAUGUGAAAGCCUUCGGCUCAACCGAAGAAGUGCAUCGGAAACUGGGAAACUUGAGUGCAGAAGAGGACAGUGGAACUCCAUGUGUAGCGGUGAAAUGCGUAGAUAUAUGGAAGAACACCAGUGGCGAAGGCGGCUGUCUGGUCUGUAACUGACGCUGAGGCUCGAAAGUAUGGGUAGCAAACAGGAUUAGAUACCCUGGUAGUCCAUACCGUAAACGAUGAAUGCUAAGUGUUGGAGGGUUUCCGCCCUUCAGUGCUGCAGCUAACGCAUUAAGCAUUCCGCCUGGGGAGUACGGCCGCAAGGCUGAAACUCAAAGGAAUUGACGGGGGCCCGCACAAGCGGUGGAGCAUGUGGUUUAAUUCGAAGCUACGCGAAGAACCUUACCAGGUCUUGACAUACUAUGCAAAUCUAAGAGAUUAGACGUUCCCUUCGGGGACAUGGAUACAGGUGGUGCAUGGUUGUCGUCAGCUCGUGUCGUGAGAUGUUGGGUUAAGUCCCGCAACGAGCGCAACCCUUAUUAUCAGUUGCCAGCAUUAAGUUGGGCACUCUGGUGAGACUGCCGGUGACAAACCGGAGGAAGGUGGGGAUGACGUCAAAUCAUCAUGCCCCUUAUGACCUGGGCUACACACGUGCUACAAUGGAUGGUACAACGAGUUGCGAACUCGCGAGAGUAAGCUAAUCUCUUAAAGCCAUUCUCAGUUCGGAUUGUAGGCUGCAACUCGCCUACAUGAAGUCGGAAUCGCUAGUAAUCGCGGAUCAGCAUGCCGCGGUGAAUACGUUCCCGGGCCUUGUACACACCGCCCGUCACACCAUGAGAGUUUGUAACACCCAAAGUCGGUGGGGUAACCUUUUAGGAACCAGCCGCCUAAGGUGGGACAGAUGAUUAGGGUG